rnacentral:rRNA from 1 species
GCACUGUAGUCAGAGUUUGAUCCUGGCUCAGGAUGAACGCUGACAGAAUGCUUAACACAUGCAAGUCGACUCGAGUCUUCGGACUUGGGUGGCGCACGGGUGCGUAACGCGUAUGUAACCUGCCUGUCAGAAGGGAAUAACCCGGUGAAAGUCGGACUAAUACCCUAUAUGCUCACGAGAGGCUCCUGCCUUGGUGAGGAAAGAUUUAUCACUGACAGAUGGACAUGCGUCCCAUUAGCUGGUUGGUAGGGUAACGGCCUACCAAGGCAACGAUGGGUAGGGGAACUGAGAGGUUUAUCCCCCACAUUGGUACUGAGACACGGACCAA